CCUCUUUCCCUUGCAGCCUCCAGCACUGCAGGUCUGGGAAGCAGCGAUUUAGAGGCUGUGCCCCUCACUGCCCUGCUCCAUCGCAACAGGAAUGUAUCCGGUCCCUUGGUGAAUCUGGCUACCCUGUCCACUUCCACUGCCUGUGGUGGCAACGAGUCCCACCCAUUAAUGACACCCUGGGUAUUGUAGCACAUAUGGUAGACAACAUCAGCCCAUAUGGAAGGUAACAUCAUCUAUGGUUAGAGGUACUCCGUUUAAUACCAGGCUUGAAAUGGAAGAACAAUUAAAAAGGAAACCUCUGAGUGUACAUGUGCUGGAAUCUCUGGCCCUGGUUUUGCAGAUUGUUGACGAGAGUGUAAAGUUACUCAUACAGACUUCCUGAUGCAAGUGCUGGUGGAUGUUUACGAUAUCAGCAGUGGUACUGAUUGAAUGCUGGUUAUAUGGAUAAUUUGGAUGCCCUAUUGCUAUUCAUUUAAAAAUCACUUUCUUCAACAAAGUUAAGAAUCUGUCGACUGUAUGAACUUUCAAUUUUGGGACAUACAUCACCAUUAAGGCAUGCAUAUCCCGAUGGCAACAUGCCAUAGGAUGAAGUGAGAAAUUAAAUGGCUCAAUGGUGUGAGAAGACAGAGCAUCAGCAUUAAAUUUGAUUUUCCUGGUUUUUGUCACUUGGUCAGACCCUUACCGCUUAAUUUUCAUAGGCGUUGCUCAAGGUUUUAGCUGCAUGAUUCUGAUUGACUUGAAUAGUAACAUCUCAGUAAAUCCUGCACAGCCCUGCAUAUUUAGAUGGUAAUGCCAAUCACAUAGAAAGGUUGGCUUAGGCAUUGGCUGGAAAACAUAUCUAUAUCUUUUAUUACUAGCUUGGUGUGACAUUGUCUGAGCUGGGUUGCUGUAUUAUACAGGGUUGUUUGCAGAUUGCUCAUUAACAUGUCAUAACAUGAAUGUUAAUGUUUAAUUAAUAAAUUCAAUAUCCCUUCUUUCCCACAGUUGUUUUACUGACUGCUGUGUAGCUUUUUAUGUGGCUCUGCAUAGACAAACUUUGGAGUUUUCUUCCUAGGACACCAAGAGCUAAAACAAUUCUUGUGCAUUUUCACAUAUUCAGUGCACUAGAUCUGGUUUUGAAAUGUUUUUUUCUAACAACUACAAAAAAAGAGACUUAAUUUGAAAUAGGUGGAAUAUUUUGCUUUUCCUGGAGAUGUCCAGGUAUGCAAAUACUUACAGUAAAGGAGUUUAUUUCAGAAUGAUAACCUUAAAGAAAGUCAUGCAGUUAUAGAGCCAGUUAUAGAAUACAUCAUAUGUACUUAAGGGUAGAAGAUGGUUCCUUGCCUUUUUCAGAGUACAAAUCAGGCUAUGCUAGUGGAAUGAUUACACAAUUGAAGACUUUAUUUUUAAGCUGCAGGAAUUUCAGCCAUAACGUUUCUAAGAAUGGCAAGAGGAGUGAAAAUAAAGUUUAGAAUUAUUGCAGCCUAUAUUUAUAAGGUUUUCUCAAUUUUUCUCAGCAUUUUGAAUCUUGGCUGUACUUUGUGAAAUAUGGGUUCUGAUCAGGAAGUGAUCUCUAGCUGAAGAGCUGCAAAAAUAAUGUAUAAAAUGAUAAUUCAGCAUUUAUUAGUAAGUGCCGCAAUAUUGAUGGAAUAUUUUCUAGAGUGGGGUGUUACGGUUCCGUUAUCUUUCUUUCACAGUAUAAUAUUAAAAAAGAAACCUCAUCCUGUUUCUCCUCAUUUUCCCCGCAUACUGAAAAUCAAUACCAAGGAUUAUGGCUUCAUAUUACUUUAAAUUAUGUUGCACAGGGCCUGUUUUGAGAAACAGGGUGAACAGAGUAUGGAAAAGAGAAAGGGGUGAUCAGGAAGUGUGGGCUAUAUGGGAGUGUUAAUCCAUAGGUUUCACAAGCCUCAAUAUAGCAGUUGGUCUCCAUCCAGCACUGACUGUGCUGGCUGUUCUGAUCUUGCAACAUCCCCUGUCGAUCAUUCCAUGUAACUGCACUACCAGGAGUCAGAGGAUACGGUUCUGCUCCCAGCUCUACCACAAGUGAGACCUUGAACAAGUCAAAGGACUGCAUUUUUGGAAGUAUCCACUCAUUUGCUAUGCUUUGCCAUUUGAGCAACCAGUUUGACAUACCCAGGGUCUGUUUAUUCAUCAUCCAUGGGAGCUGCAUGUUACUCACCCGUCUGAAAAUCAGUCCCUAGUUGCCUCAAGGCAGACAUGCAAAUAUGGAAAGAGUUCAGAUUAGCAGUCACUAUUGGGAAAUAUACCCCUUAGUUUCUCUGGGCUGCAGUGUGUCACUAAUUUUUAAGUAGAGCUUAUCGCUGAAAUUAAUGGGGUAUUCUUCUGAACAAUGAUGUCGAUAAUUGCGAGUCUUGGUUUUUCUCAUGUAUAGGACAGGAAUAAUGUUCAUCUUUCUCAAAGCUGAUUCAAGGCUUAAUUCAUUAGUUUUUGUCAAGAUGUUUGAGAUACUGUGAUGAAAGGAGCUAUAGAACUGCUAAGUAGCA